rnacentral:rRNA from 1 species
AAGCCCGACAUGCCACGCCGUCUGGUGGAUGACCAGGCUUGAGCGCCGAAGAAGGGCGCGGCAAGCAGCGAAAUGCCACGGGUAAGCGCAUGCAGCUGUAGAUCCGUGGAUACCUCAAUGAGACUUCUUGUCGCGAAAUCCGAAAGGACUUCGUGACGUUCCGAAAGGAACGGGAACCCCCAAAACGGAAACAUCUUAGUAAGGGGAGGAAAAGAAACCAAUUGGGAUUCCCCUAGUAGCGGCGAGCGAAAAGGGAAAAGUCCAAACCAAACUCCACAAGGAAACUUGUGGCGAAUGUAGUGUUGCGGGUCCAGCCGCCUUCUCCCUGACCAAGCCAAAGUCGCCUGAAACGGCGCACCAAAGAGGAUGAAAGUUCCGUAGGCAUAAACCAGAAGAAGCAGGGCUGGAAUCCCAGAGUACCAUUCCCUGGUUUGGGAAUGGAAAACUGGAAGUCACCAACUUCCAAGACUAAACACGACUCAAGACCGAUAGCGCACUAGUACGGUGACGGAAAAUUGAAAAGCACCCCGGAAGGGGGAUGAAAAGAGCCUGAAACCAGACGGUCACAGACGUGUGCAGCCCCAAAGGACAGACUCCCCUCAAAGAAAACCAUGGCAACGUGGCAAUCAAGAGGGGACGACCAGGGUUGCACUCUCCGUCUAGAAACACGGGCCGGGGAGUUCACGAUUGUGGCAAGCCUAAAGGCACAAAGCCUGCAAGCGAAGGGAAACCAACAAGCGCACAAACAGCUUCGGCUGGUGAGGCGCGAGGUCCGAAAAGGCCUGGAGUCACAACCGUGAGACUAGAAACCGGACGAUCUAGCCUUGAGCAGGGCGAAGUCAGGCGAAAGCUUGAUGGAGGCCCGAAAGGGUGUUGACGUGCAACUCACUCCUCAGACUUGAGGCUAGGGGCGAAAGACCAAUCUAGCCCGGUGAUAGCUAGUUCCCUCCGAAGUGGGUCGCAGCCCAGCCCCAAGCGAGGUAGCUGAUGGGGUAGAGCACUGAUUGGAAAGUAAGGGAUCGAAAGAUCCCGCUUUUCUUUCAAACUCCGAAUCUAUCAGCGCCGUAGACCUUGGGAGACGGGUUCGUGGGGGUAAGCUCCAUGUCCGAGAGGGGAACAACCCAGACUGAGGUUAAGGCCCCAAAGUGCUGGCUAAGUGUUAAACUGAAAGGUGUCAUCAGCCCCAGACAGCGGGGAGGUAGGCUUAGAAGCAGCCACCCUUCAAAGAAAGCGUAACAGCUCACCCGCCGAGGCUGAUGGCCCUGAAAAUGGACGGGGCUAAGCCAGCCGCCGAUACCCCAGGGUGCAGUUCAGCACUGCAAUCCGGUAGGAGGGCGUCCCGACUGGGCGGAAGCCAGGCUGUAAGGUCUGGUGGACCGGUUCGGGAGUGAAAAUCCCGGUGGUAGUAACAGCAAAGAGAGGUGAGAAUCCUCUCCGCCGAAAGGGCAAGGGUUCCCCAGCAAUGCGUCGUCAGCUGGGGGUAAGUCGGUCCUAAGACUGAGCCUAACCGACUCAGCCGAAAGGGAAGCUGGUUAAAAUUCCCGCACCACAGAGGUACACGUGGCGACACAAGCUCAACAUCUGACGCUUCGGAGUAGACUGAGCAAGGCUAUCGCCUUGUUUAACCGCAUAAACCUGGGGAGUGCCGUAAUGGCGAGAACCAGGCGAAAACGGGAAUAGCUGCCCGUUUUUAGGACAGUUCAGUCAAUCUCUGGAGCCCAUGAAAAGGAUGUUGGGAAGGACCCUCUGUGUCCGUACCCAGAACCGUCACAGGUGUCCCUAGGCGAGGAACCUAAGGCGUGUCGGGUGUACACCAAGCGAGGGAAAUCGGCAAGUUAGCCCCGUAACUUCGGGAUAAGGGGUGCCUGCAGUUUUGGCUUCGGCUGGGACUGCAGGUCGCAGUAGCAAAGGGGGCCCGACUGUUUAAUAAAAACACAGGAAGCCGCAAGCCUGAAAAGGUGUGUACGGCUUCUGAAUCCUGGCCACUACAGGUACCUGAAACCUGGGUUCAACCGGGCUAAGGGCCUGCAAAAGCCGGGAGUAACUCUGACUCUCUCAAGGUAGCCAAAUGCCUUGUCGGGUAAGUUCCGACGUGCAUGAAUGGAGCAACGAGGUCCCCGCUGUCCCCGCUUGGUACCCGGUGAACCCACGUAAAGUGGACGAACAGUCCACUGACUCCCAGCGGGAAAAGAAGACCCCGUGGAGUUUUACUGCAGCCUGUCGCUGGGAUAUGGCUGUGGAUGCAGAGUGUAGGCGGGAGCCGCUUGACCUCAAUCUCUCUGGGGAUUGGGUAGGCAUCAAUGGAACACCGCCCUUUCGCAACCGUGUCUCUUACUGGCGCCGUUAGGCGCUGGAACAACGAUUGGUGGGCAGUUUGGCUGGGGCGGCACCCCCUCGAAAAAAUAUCAAGGGGGCCCAAAGGUCGGCUCAGGCGGGACAGAAACCCGCUGUAGAGUGCAAAGGCAAAAGCCGGCCUGACUGUAUCCUCCACAGUAAGGGAUGCAGAGGCGAAAGCCUGGCUUAGCGAACAUCCAGAUCCUCAUUGGUGGGGGUUGGAUAUGACAGAAAAAUUACCCCGGGGGUAACAGGCUUGUCGCGGGCGAGAGUCCUCAUCGACCCCGCGGCUUGGUACCUCGAUGUCGGCUCUUCCUAUCCUGGCCCUGCAUAAGGGGCCAAGGGUGAGGCUGCUCGCCUAUUAAAAGGGAACGUGAGCUGGGUUUAGACCGUCGUGAGACAGGUCGGACUUUAUCUGCUGGGAGUGUUGGUCGCCUGAGGGGAAAGGGUCCCCAGUACGAGAGGAACGGGACGUUGUAGCCUAUGGUUUACCGGUUGUCCGAUAGGGCAUUUGCCGGGCAGCUACGCUGUCGUGGAUAAGAGCUGAAAGCAUCUAAGCUCGAAGCCAUUCCCGAAAAGAGGCGGCCGUUCCGCAACAGUAGACCUUGGUAACGAGGCCUUGGUUGUGGACGAGGGCUCCCAUAGAAGAUGGGGUUGAUGGAGCCGGGGUGUGCGCACCAAGAUCUUCGGGUCGAGGUGUUUAGCCUGCGGCUACCAAUCGCCCGAGGUGUCGGGCUG